rnacentral:rRNA from 1 species
AGCAGCCGCGGUAAUUCCAGCUCCAAUAGCGUAUAUUAAAGUUGCUGCAGUUAAAAAGCUCGUAGUUGAAUUUCGGGAUCAAUAUGUUGGUCGUGCCUCGGUACGUACUAGCUUAUUGGUUUCUCCCUUCUGACGAACCAUGAUGUCAUUUAUUUGGUGUUAUGGGGAAUCAGGACUGUUACUUUGAAAAAAUUAGAGUGUUUAAAGCAGGCUUACGCUUGAAUACAUUAGCAUGGAAUAAUGAAAUAGGACGUUUGAUUCUAUUUUGUUGGUUUCUAGGAUCGACGUAAUGAUUAAUAGGGAUAGUUGGGGGCAUUAGUAUUCAAUUGUCAGAGGUGAAAUUCUUGGAUUUAUUGAAGACUAACUACUGCGAAAGCAUUUGCCAAGGAUGUUUUCAUUAAUCAAGAACGAAAGUUAGGGGAUCGAAGACGAUCAGAUACCGUCGUAGUCUUAACCAUAAACUAUGCCGACUAGGGAUCGGAUGAUGUUAAUUUUUAAUGUACUCUAUUCGGCGUACCG